AUUGAACGCUGGCGGCAGGCCUAACACAUGCGAGUCGAGCGGAUGAAGGGAGCUUGCUCCUGGAUUCAGCGGCGGACGGGUGAGUAAUGCCUAGGAAUCUGCCUGGUAGUGGGGGAUAACGUCCGGAAACGGGCGCUAAUACCGCAUACGUCCUGAGGGAGAAAGUGGGGGAUCUUCGGACCUCACGCUAUCAGAUGAGCCUAGGUCGGAUUAGCUAGUUGGUGGGGUAAAGGCCUACCAAGGCGACGAUCCGUAACUGGUCUGAGAGGAUGAUCAGUCACACUGGAACUGAGACACGGUCCAGACUCCUACGGGAGGCAGCAGUGGGGAAUAUUGGACAAUGGGCGAAAGCCUGAUCCAGCCAUGCCGCGUGUGUGAAGAAGGUCUUCGGAUUGUAAAGCACUUUAAGUUGGGAGGAAGGGCAGUAAGUUAAUACCUUGCUGUUUUGACGUUACCAACAGAAUAAGCUCCGGCUAACUUCGUG
rnacentral:rRNA from 1 species